rnacentral:rRNA from 1 species
AGCCCGCUCAGAAACUCAAGGAAGUUGACGGGGCCCGGCACAAGCGGAGGAGCAUGUGGUUUAAUUCGAUGAUACGCGAGGAACCUUACCUGGGCUCGAACGUAAGAUGACUGUAGGUGAAAGCUUACAUCUCUUCGGAGCAUUUUACGAGGUGCUGCAUGGUUGUCGUCAGCUCGUGCCGUGAGGUGUCGGGUUAAGUCCCAUAACGAGCGCAACCCCUACCUUUAGUUGCCAUCAGGUUAAGCUGGGGACUCUAAAGGAACUGCCUACGCAAGUAGUGAGGAAGGCGGGGAUGACGUCAAAUCAGCACGGCCCUUACGUCCAGGGCUACACACGUGCUACAAUGGCCGAUACAGAGGGCAGCUACCUGGUGACAGGAUGCAAAUCUCCAAAGUCGGUCUCAGUUCGGAUCGGAGUCUGCAACCCGACUCCGUGAAGUUGGAUUCGCUAGUAAUCGCGCAUCAGCCAUGGCGCGGUGAAUACGUUCCCGGGCCUU